UACGGAGGGUGCGAGCGUUAAUCGGAAUCACUGGGCGUAAAGGGCACGCAGGCGGGCUUUUAAGUGAGAUGUGAAAUCCCCGGGCUUAACCUGGGAAUAGCAUUUGAGACUGGGAGUCUUGAGUUCUUUAGGGAGGGGUAGAAUUCCACGUGUAGCGGUGAAAUGCGUAGAGAUGUGGAGGAAUACCGAAGGCGAAGGCAGCCCCUUGUGAAUGUAUUGACGCUCAUGUGCGAAGGCGUGGGGAGCAAACAGG
rnacentral:rRNA from 1 species